UACGGGGGGAGCAAGCGUUGUUCGGAUUUACUGGGCGUAAAGCGCGUGUAGGCGGCUAAGUAAGUCGGGCGUGAAAUCCCACGGCUCAACCGUGGAAGUGCACUCGAAACUGCAUAGCUAGAGUCCUGGAGAGGAAGGUGGAAUGCUUGGUGUAGAGGUGAAAUUCGUAGAUAUCAAGCGGAACACCGGUGGCGAAGGCGGCCUUCUGGACAGUGACUGACGCUGAGACGCGAAAGCGUGGGGAGCAAACAGG
rnacentral:rRNA from 1 species